UUUUCUGAAUUAUACAUAACUAAGAUGACUAAAAAAAGAAAAUUAACACAACUUCUGGCCAUCGCGUUGUUUCAAAACUCGAGCAAUGCCAUAAAUGAUUAAGUUAUGUUGCUUGCCACCAUGGUAUUGGGAUGUUGAUGUUGUGCAAAAUUGUAUGUUAAGUAGCGAUGUGAAAGAAAUAACUGUAAGAAAUUCUUGUUUCUUAUACGAAAGUUACAUUGUUGUACGUUUGGCUCGCAAGAAUUAUGCUUUUGUCCGUGAACUCUGAUCAAAGAUAGUUUUUUUUCUAUGGCGUACAAUCAUGGAUUCUCAAACAACAUCAUGUAACCUUGUAUCUGGUAACAAAAUUGCGCUCAAAGUUAAGUUAUACAAGUUAUAUUAAGUAUGUUUAAAAGGAACAGAUGGAAUUAAACUUCAAGGACCAUGUCGUGUUAGUGAUUUCUGUCUACUAUACAAUAUUAAAUAUGUACAGGUAUUGAUAUGUAUCAGCUCUUAGAUAAGAACAUGUAUUUGCAAAACUCUAUAUAUACUGUUCCUGUGAAGGUUUAUCUGUGACAGAAAUCGGCAUAGUAAAAGCUUUUGCAAGCAAUGUUUGUAAAAACAAAGUAAAGCGCUUACCAACAUGUUUUAGGCCAUUUCUCUAAUCCUUGCCAAGUUGAAAUGAACCCAAGCGUUAGAACACAAUGGUGAUAACAAUUGAAAGUAAUAACAAAAAGUGGCAACAAAAGGAGAUAAAAGUUGUCAAUUCACCAUUGCCUCAACAUGCAUUGCCUCGAUAUUAGCUCAAACGUCAUCUAGCGAUAAUGCACUACACUGCAGCUGUUGACAACUACAGGUAAUGCUGUAUGGUGUCGCCUGGAGGUGCCGCCGUGCAUGGCCUCUAAUUGCAGGUCAGAACAAUUUAGUGCGUACACAAUAACAAUGACGUUCUCUCUCUUUUGUUAUGCAAAUUAUCUAGACCUCAGAAAAAUACAUGGGUUUUCCCAGAUCAAAUCUACCAAGUGGCGCAAUAUCUCAGAGUAUACGUACAGGCAACGAGUACUUCUACUGACAACUGGCAUUUUACUGUCCAAACUGUAAAGUUACCUUGCCGUGACAAAAUGGUUCAGAACUGGUGGUCGGCGCUACUACUAGUUGUGGGACUGUGCUGGGGACCCUCUUUUGUACUGGCAGCUUCUGGCGAUGCCGGAGACAUCAUGUUCGUGCUAGACGGGUCCGGUAGCAUCAGCGCUGACGACUUUGUUAGGGCCAAAUCUUUCAUCAGUCAAGUUGUGGAUGCGUUCGACAUAGCUGCGGACUUCACACGCGUAGGUGUAGUUCAGUUUAGUUCCUUUUUUACGGAGGAAUUCCCGCUAGACGGUUACUCGGACAAGGCGUCUUUGAAGCAAGCCAUCGGGAAUAUCCCACAGAGAGGAGGCGGAACCUUAUUGGGACAAGUCAUCAACUACCUGGUCAACACAAGCUUUACCGAAGCCAAAGGAGCGCGUCCACUAUCGCAGGGGAUACCCAGAAUUGCGGUGUUAAUGACAGACGGAUCGGCCCACGACAACCCUACUACUGUCUUAGCCCCAGCUAUUGAUGCCUUACGAGCAUCAGGCAUAAUUGCCUUUUCCAUUGGAGUGGGUCCCAGCGUGAAUAGGGACCAACUAGAAGCAGUGGCCGGGGAUACAGACAGGGUCUUCCAGGUCGGUACUUAUUCUGUUAUCAACAGCAUCCGGGACCUUCUGGUGGAAAGAGUGAGGGAAAUCAUUGAGUUACCGUCAUCUCCAAGGCCACCUACUGUGGAACCUUCCAGCACACAAAGUCAGACUCCACAACUACUGACGACAUCUAGAGCAACUACACAACAUCCAAUGACAUCAAAAGCAACUACACAACGUCUGACGACGUCAAAAGCAACUACACAACGUCUGACGACAUCAAAAGCAACUACACAACUUCCGAUGACAUCAACAUCAUCAACUACACAAAUAAUGACACCAAUUGCAACUGCUCAACUUCAAAACACCACAACAGCAACCGUCGAAACUAAGAAAGUUACACCGACCAACACGGUGUACUACAUUGCCGGAGGAGUAGGGGGCGCUCUUCUCCUCCUCAUCAUACUGGUUAUCAUUGUGCUGGUGAUCAAGUGUCGUGAACAUCAAGAUGAGCCAGAAGUUCAGGAUGAUCCCUUCGAGAGAGAAGAACUUGGACCACGAGAGUUUGUGUUCACCAACCCAGCUUUUGGGAACGCGGAGAAUGUGCCCACCAAUCGCUGGCAGGAGGCGGCAGGUCACGGGGACCCCGCCCCAGAGGAACCCCUGUAUGUCAACAUGCCUGCGGAACCCACCGAUGCCAACAUGCAGAACAGCACCUUCAGCAAGAGAAACGUCAUGGAAAAUGUGUAUGUCUAACUUGACAUAACAAUUGUUAUAUUUGUGUGGCUAUUGUGUAUACUAGUAUGAUAACUACCCCAUAUGCAAUGUAUAUAGAGAGAUAGAGAUAUGUAAGGCAUAGGGAUGGAGAAAGAUUAUAUGCACAUUAUCUACUUGUACUUGGCGAUUUGAAGAUGUAAAUUUUUCCAGACAUUUUUCAAGAAACAAUAUUAUAAAACACUUCGCAUUAUCUUCAAUACCCUCCUUUCCCGCAGUCUAUUGAGCAGUUCAACCAGACAGUUUAUUUCUUAAAUAACACAUAAACUUAAACUUCAAGCGAAUGUCACAAAUAUCUUUGACUUUGACUUACUUAGUAAUGUAUAAGUACUCAUGAUAUGAUGGUAAAUAACGAAUGAAAGGUUCCAUGAUAAAUACACUGCAACAUAUGCAACACAUGGAAACAUUAUAUCUACAUGACUAUUUCUACUAUAGAUUAAAACUUUGAGAGGCCAUGUUGAGGAUUAUAUCAAUUGUAUGUAUAUAUACCUCUAUUUCAUGGUAAAUACACUACAACAUAUGAAAGGCAUGGAAAUACAUUAUCUAUGUGACUAUUUUUGCUAUACGCUUAUGAAGGUUAGACAUCCGAAAGUAAAUAUGUUUUUAUCCAGUUGUAGAGAUUGGAUUGUAUUUGAAUAUUUUUACUAUUGAUUCGAGAGGCCAUGUUGAGGCUAAUAUCAGUUGUAUGUACAUGUACAUAUAAAGAGGUUGGCCCCCUUUUUCUGAUGUACGGGGAACUUUAGCUAGCUUUUUUAUAUGGAGAACUGCAAAGGCAAAACAUGUAUGAUGAUGUCGUUACUAAAAGAAGGAAUGGGCAAAUAUUUAAAGAUACACCAAAACGGCUGUGAAGGAACAUAAAACAGAAGUGAACAUGAUUACAGUUUGCUAAGUGGAAGAAGAAGCAACAAGCGUCAUGGCAUUGUUUGAAGGUUUUAUUUCUUUGAGAUUAGCAUUGUGCAUAUACAUCAAUGUACAAAUUGUGAUCAAUCAACAAUUAAGUAAACAUCUCAUAAAAUACAAAUGGGCUUGGAACAAACCGCUGUUUCCAUUGAUGGAAAGAUAAGGAUAAAAAAAAACAAUAAUUUCGUUUGCAUUAAUAAAAAAUGAUUUUGUAAUAAAGUGAAAUUUAGUGUCUAAAAUUACACUAAGUUCCCAAGACUCCAGUACUAAUCUGACACCUUGAAGCACCCCUAGAGUAGAAAGGGUUAACAAAAACAGUGGCCAGUUCCUUGCUGUUUCUUUGUAUCAAUGUAAUACAUCUGCAACAAUUUCAUAGCAGUGGUACAUAUAUAACUCAGGCUGUAGUACAUUCAUAGAUCUCUGUUCAGAGUGAGUUGUGGGUCAAAUUAUAUAUCUACUUUCUACAGAAGUAAAAUUUGUAUAUCCCUAGUAAGAGAUAGCUCUGAAAUCAAAUUAUAUUUACAGAGAAUCAA